GGCCGGUUAGCUCAGUUGGUUAGAGCGUGGUGCUAAUAUAACAAGCCAAAAUCGUCUAAUACGCCAAGGUCAAGGGUUCGACCCCCUUACGGGCCA